GAUGAACGCUGGCGGCGUGCCUAAUACAUGCAAGUCGAGCGAACGGACGAGAAGCUUGCUUCUCUGAUGUUAGCGGCGGACGGGUGAGUAACACGUGGAUAACCUACCUAUAAGACUGGGAUAACUUCGGGAAACCGGAGCUAAUACCGGAUAAUAUUUUGAACCGCAUGGUUCAAAAGUGAAAGACGGUCUUGCUGUCACUUAUAGAUGGAUCCGCGCUGCAUUAGCUAGUUGGUAAGGUAACGGCUUACCAAGGCAACGAUGCAUAGCCGACCUGAGAGGGUGAUCGGCAACACUGGAACUGAGACACGGUCCAGACUCCUACGGGAGGCAGCAGUAGGGAAUCUUCCGCAAUGGGCGAAAGACUGACGGAGCAACGCCGCGUGAGUGAUGAAGGUCUUCGGAUCGUAAAACUCUGUUAUUAGGGAAGAACAUAUGUGUAAGUAACUGUGCACAUCUUGACGGUACCUAAUCAGAAAGCCACGGCUAACUACGUG
rnacentral:rRNA from 1 species